AACGAACGCUGGCGGCAUGCCUAACACAUGCAAGUCGAACGAGAUCUUCGGGUCUAGUGGCGCACGGGUGCGUAACGCGUGGGAAUCUGCCCUUUGGUUCGGAAUAACAGUUGGAGACGACUGCUAAAACCGGAUGAUGACGAAAGUCCAAAGAUUUAUCGCCAGAGGAUGAGCCCGCGUAGGAUUAGCUAGUUGGUGUGGUAAAGGCGCACCAAGGCGACGAUCCUUAGCUGGUCUGAGAGGAUGAUCAGCCACACUGGGACUGAGACACGGCCCAGACUCCUACGGGAGGCAGCAGUGGGGAAUAUUGGACAAUGGGCGAAAGCCUGAUCCAGCAAUGCCGCGUGAGUGAUGAAGGCCUUAGGGUUGUAAAGCUCUUUACCCGGGAUGAUAAUGACAGUACCGGGAGAAUAAGCUCCGGCUAACUCCGUGCCAGCCGCCGCGGUAA
rnacentral:rRNA from 1 species